CCAAUAGCGUAUAUUAAAGUUGUUGCAGUUAAAAAGCUCGUAGUUGAAUUUCGGGAUCAGUACGCUGGUCGUGCCUUCGGUAUGCACUGGUUUCACUGAUUCCUCCCUUCUGAAGAACCGUAAUGCCAUUCAGUUGGUGUGGCGGGGAAUCAGGAUUGUUACUUUGAAAAAAUUAGAGUGUUUAAAGCAGGCUCGCGCUUGAAUACAUUAGCAUGGAAUA
rnacentral:rRNA from 1 species